rnacentral:rRNA from 1 species
ACGCUCGACACCUACGGGAGGUAGCAGUGGGGAAUAUUGCACAAUGGGGGAAACCCUGAUGCAGCGACGCCGCGUGGAGGAAGAAGGUCUUCGGAUUGUAAACUCCUGUUGUUGGGGAAAAAGAGGAUGGUACCCAACAAGGAAGUGACGGCUAACUACGUGCCAGAAGCCGCGGUAAUCUGAGCGGGCUGGCAAGGC